rnacentral:miRNA from 1 species
AAGGAAGGGCCUCACUUUCAAGCU